rnacentral:lncRNA from 1 species
CAACCAUGACAUGACCUGAGUUCCUUCUAUUCUUUUUCUUCAUUUAUUUCCUUUGAUUCUUGAGGUAGCAUCUCCCGCUCGAUUAAUUCCAUCUUUGACCAACUCCUUUGAUGCUACUUGUUGUCGUCAACUCACAAACACAUUUAAACUGGUGGGACAGUCUACAAGUAAACGAUGUGGGACUAUCUAUUAACCAUAAUCUUCUAUACUUUUUAUUACAGAAACACUCGCUGGAACAUCUCACGCAGACGGGCUAAGGCCCAAGUGGCAACGCAUCAGCCACGAAUGAUCGCAAGGCAAGGCCCGAGCAAGAGCGCAUAUGGAAAAUAUAUAAUUAGUGCACGUACGGACGCAUAUAGAUAGUACCACCUUGGAUAUUAAGAAAAAUAUCAAAUCAAGAAAAAACGGACAGGAAGAAGCGUAUUAUGACAUGGGAAGAAAGCGCAUUGUGACGGUGAACCCGGAGACUCAAUCGAUACUUUAUUAUUAGGGAGAGAUUAGCAAGCGUGGUGGAAAUUUCAGCUUUCGGUAUCUUUCUUUUAUUUGUAAUAAUAUCUUUCAUGUACUUAGCAUAAGGAUUGGUUUUGAGUAUAUCAGUUAAUCGCAUACACAAAAAGGUAGGUUUAAUCAUUUCAGCAAAGCGCUCAAAAUCCUCAUUAUCCUUUUUCUUGGAUGGUUUGGGAGGAAAAGGCAUGGGUUUCUGAACCCAAGGCUCUCUUUCUUACAAAUGUUUCCUAGCAACAAAGUCUUUCUAAUCAUAACGUUGAUUCUUUGAUUGUGGGUUAUCAAGAUCAAUAGCAGGUUCAAUUUCUACAUCAUUAUCAUUAUUAGGUUGAGCAUCAUUAUGAAUAUUAUCAUUAACAUUAUCACUAGUUUCAGGUUCAUUACUGGAUUGUGUUUCAGC